rnacentral:rRNA from 1 species
GAAGCGGCAAAAGCUCAAAUUUGAAAUCUGGCACUUUCAGUGUCCGAGUUGUAAUUUGAAGAAGGUAUCUUUGGGUCUGGCUCUUGUCUAUGUUUCUUGGAACAGAACGUCACAGAGGGUGAGAAUCCCGUGCGAUGAGAUGUCCCAGACCUAUGUAAAGUUCCUUCGAAGAGUCGAGCUGUUUGGGAAUGCAGCUCUAAGUGGGUGGUAAAUUCCAUCUAAAGCUAAAUAUUGGCGAGAGACCGAUAGCGAACAAGUACAGUGAUGGAAAGAUGAAAAGAACUUUGAAAAGAGAGUGAAAAAGUACGUGAAAUUGUUGAAAGGGAAGGGCUUGAGAUCAGACUUGGUAUUUUGUAUGUUACUCUCUCGGGGGUGGCCUCUACAGUUUACCGGGCCAGCAUCAGUUUGAGCGGUAGGAUAAGUGCAAAGAAAUGUGGCACUGCUUCGGUAGUGUGUUAUAGUCUUUGUCGAUACUGCCAGCUUAGACUGAGGACUGCGGCUUCGGCCUAGGAUGUUGGCAUAAUGAUCUUAAGUCGCCCGUCUUGAAACACGGACC